rnacentral:rRNA from 1 species
AUUGAACGCUGGCGGCAGGCCUAACACAUGCAAGUCGAACGGUAACAGGAAGCAGCUUGCUGCUUCGCUGACGAGUGGCGGACGGGUGAGUAAUGUCUGGGAGACUGCCUGAUGGAGGGGGAUAACUACUGGAAACGGGAGCUAAUACCGCAUAACGUCGCAAGACCAAAGAGGGGGACCUUAGGGCCUCUUUCCAUCGGAUGUGCCCAGAUGGGAUUAGCUAGUAGGUGGGGUAACGGCCCACCUAGGCGACGAUCCCUAGCUGGUCUGAGAGGAUGACCAGCCACACUGGAACUGAGACACGGUCCAGACUCCUACGGGAGGCAGCAGUGGGGAAUAUUGCACAAUGGGCGCAAGCCUGAUGCAGCCAUGCCGCGUGUAUGAAGAAGGCCUUCGGGUUUUAAAGUACUUUCAGCGGGGAGGAAGGGAGUAAAGUUAAUACCUUUGCUCAUUGACGUUACCCGCAGAAGAAGCACCGGCUAACUCCGUG